AACGUAGGACGCAAGCGUUAUCCGGAGUUACUGGGCGUAAAGCGUGCGCAGGCGGUUCGUUGUGUCGGUGGUGAAAGCCCCGGGCUUAACCUGGGAAUGGCCAUGGAAACUGGCGAACUGGAGUGUGGCAGAGGGGGGUGGAAUUCCGCGUGUAGCAGUGAAAUGCGUAGAGAUGCGGAGGAACACCGAUGGCGAAGGCAGCCCCCUGGGCUAGCACUGACGCUCAUGCACGAAAGCGUGGGGAGCAAACAGG
rnacentral:rRNA from 1 species